rnacentral:tRNA from 2 species
GCAUCCGUAGCUCAACUGGAUAGAGCUUCUGACUUCGGAUCAGAAGGUUACAGGUUCAAAUCCUGUCGGAUGCACCA